GAUGAACGCUGGCGGCGUGCCUAAUACAUGCAAGUCGAGCGAAUGGAUUAAGAGCUUGCUCUUAUGAAGUUAGCGGCGGACGGGUGAGUAACACGUGGGUAACCUGCCCAUAAGACUGGGAUAACUCCGGGAAGCCGGGGCUAAUACCGGAUAACACUUUGAACCGCAUGGUUCGAAAUUGAAAGGCGGCUUCGGCUGUCACUUAUGGAUGGACCCGCGUCGCAUUAGCUAGUUGGUGAGGUAACGGCUCACCAAGGCAACGAUGCGUAGCCGACCUGAGAGGGUGAUCGGCCACACUGGGACUGAGACACGGCCCAGACUCCUACGGGAGGCAGCAGUAGGGAAUCUUCCGCAAUGGACGAAAGUCUGACGGAGCAACGCCGCGUGGGUGAUGAAGGCUUUCGGGUCGUAAAACUCUGUUGUUAGGGAAGAACAAGUGCUAGUUGAAUAAGCUGGCACCUUGACGGUACCUAACCAGAAAGCCACGGCUAACUACGUGCCAGCAGCCGCGGUAA
rnacentral:rRNA from 1 species